GAAACCAACUGGAAUGCCAAAGGGGACAAAAUGGAGCUGCAGGAUGACUGGGGCAAGAGAACAGGCUCAGGAGACACAGAGGCAGAAGACGAUCCGGAGGGACACUGGGAGAACGGUGGGGACACCAGGAAGCAAGAGUGGAGAACAUCCUAGAAGGAAAAAGUGACCACCAUGGGCCGCGAGCGGCGAGGUGGGAUGGGGGACCCGGGAGGAGCGAUGCUUUCCUGGAGGGACCUGUGGGAGGGCAGGGGCAGCGGCACAGCUGGCUGAGACGCCAACCACUGGAGCCAGGGAAGGAGGAAGGAGGCAAGACCCAGCGGGAUCCGGUCUUCGGCAAACUGGAGACGUGCGGGUUUACGUUCUGGGUCAGGGGAGCCUGGGACCCUGAGCAGGUAAGCAUGCGACCCUCGUGAGCAGAUGGGGCGGAGGGAGAGACUCAGGGAUUAUCGUCAGGCGAUCACAUGUGUCGUGUUAAGUCAGACUUAAUUAAACCUUCCCCCUUUCGUGAGUCACCUGAUCCCCGUGUCCUGCUACAGACUGUGCUCAUCCUCCGCGGAUUUCAGUGCCCUUGCAGGCGCCAGUUCCACCUCGCCUGCUGGUGGGGCCUGCCCUCUUCUCUGGUCACUUGUAAUAAUCAACAGAGCUGAUCAUGUGCUCAAUGUACUUUCUGUUGUGCACAGGUAGCUCGGGGCACAAAUCUGUAAGGUGCAACUCAGUGAGUUUUUGUUUUUUGUUUUUUGGGGGUUUUUUUUGUUUGUUUGUUUUUGGUUUUUUAUCAGUACUGGGGAUCGAACUCACGACCGCCUGCUUGCAAGGCAGGUGCUUAUGCCGCUGAGCUAAAUCCCCAGUCCCCUUCUUGGUGAGUUUUUAAUUCUGCACACACACCGCUACCAGGUCCAGUCAAAAACAAGUUCAUCCUCCUUCCAGACUCCCUGGCAUCCCUCCCCACUUAUUACUUCCAUCCCAGGCAUACUUACCCUUCUGACUUCUGUCACCCAAGUGUUUCUGCUUCUCUUGAACUUCUUAUGAAUACAAUUAGUGGGUCUGGCUUCUUCCACAAAACAUACAUCUUUGAGGUUCACACAUGUUGGAAAUGUAAUUUGUCUUCAUAAUUUGUCUUGUCUUUUCAUUGCUAUGUAAUAUUCCUUCGUGGGAAUACACCACUGAUGGAUCUAUGGAUCUAUUCUCCUGUUAGUAGACAUAUGGGUUGUUUAUGAGUUUUUUCCUAUGACAGAUAAAGCUGCUGAGCAUUCUGAACACUUUUUUAGGUGACUGCAUGCAAUCAGUUCUGAUAGGUAAUAUUUCUAGGAGUGGAGUGCUAGGCCAUAGUGUAGACAUGGGUUAGGUUGCACUAAUUUGUAAGUUAGUUGUAUUCAACAUUUACUCCUUUUAGUGUAGAAUUUUGGUAGAUAUAUGGAACUGCAUAACUCCUGUCACAAUUAAAAUGUAAGACAUUUCCAUCACCCCAAGAAAUUGCCUUGUUCUCUAUCAGUCCCUGGAAACCACUGAGCAUGCACAAGGCCUUGGGUUCGAUUCCCAGUAUUGAGCAAGGUGAAGAGAAAGAAAAAGAAAGAGAAAGAAAAGAGAAAAAAGAGGCAGUCAGGGGUUACAGACUCUGCCAAGUUGGAGUCACUGACUGGGACUCCAUAGGACACCCUCAUGGCGCUGUUCAUUGGGAGGGCCUGGAGCGACUCAGCAGGGGAACCAGGCACACAGGCCUGAGAGGGGGACUGUUGGCAAAAGGCUUGGGGGAAGAAGAUGAGGAACUUCAAGAAGGAAAAAGAAGGCCAGGAGGCCUCCCUCUGAGGAGCUCCAGGGCGAUGGGAGGGUUAGACUGAAACUAUACGCCCUUGUUGGGGGUGGAGUGGAGCUGCCUGAGAUAACUAAGGAGGCCCAGGCUGGUAACUGUCCCCACGUCCUGAGGGAACUUCACAGGGUCCUGGGAAGGCAGGAUGGACCCUAGACACCUGGGGUCUCUAGCCCUGCCCCACUGAACUGGGCCAAUGUCAAAAGUUCUCAAGAAGGCAAGUGGGCAGGGGAGCCUUAGGAACCUGUGGAUGCUGGGAAGUCCACCUGUGGGCAGCAAAGACGGGCACGGAGGUAACAGGAGACAGCUGGUUGGAGAAACUUGUCCAGGAAGGCAGAGGCUGUGAGUGGGAACUUGCAGGAGUAGAGAGAGAACACCGAGAAAAAGGGGAGAUCAGAAACAGGAGACAGGAGAGUAUGAGACCCAGGAGGGGAGAGACACAGGACAGCUGCCCUGCACACAGGGAGAUGUAGACAGGUGGCUGCAGAUGCACGAGCAAGAAGGGCCUGGGCCCCUGGAGGCCUGGAUCCCCAGAAGAGGGAGCUGGGGUGUUGGCUGGGCCCAGAGGGAAAGGGCAUGUGGACCCCCAGCUCAGGGCUGCAGGGUGGAAAGGGAAGGAGCUGGAGUGACCGACUGACCUUAAGAGCCAGCCAAGGCUGGAGGGACGUCAGCUAGAUCGGGGCCGUAAGCACAUGAUGUGAUGUGAGCCUGCCGCCCUUGGCAGCUCAGAGGCGGAUUGAGAAAAAUGGAGGGGUUUUAGUUCCCUCUCAUCCACCAUCCUGUUUAAUGGUCCCAGCACCCCCAGUCACCUCUGAUUUACAGACAAGGGAACUGAGGCCCAGGGAGAGGAGGACAUGAACCUGACUAUUCAGCAAGUGAGCAGUGAGACAAGACUCUGGCCAAGGACCAGGUUUCUCUGCUUGGCGGCAACCCUAUGGCCCCGUGUCCCUUCCCAGACACAUGGAGAGUGCCGCGGCAGCCCUGUGCCUACUGCCCUCUGCCAGGCACAGACACACACAGAGCUUGCUUGCUCCCCAUGAGCCAGCUGUUGCUCAACUCAGUUUUUCUGCCUGUUCAUCAAAGCCUCUCAGGUAGGGACCGGGAGGGAGUCGAGGUCCAGAGGUAGCACCUAACUGGUCUGGGUUAGUCAGGGCCACACAGCACAGGGCCUCAGUGUGGUGGUUGUAAAAUAUGUCUACAAAUUCUUUGGCAUUCCUCCCUUCAACAGACAGAGCCAAAUUCCCCUGCUCUGAGUGUAGAUAGGAUUUAGUGACUCACUCCUGACAAAGUAAAGCAGAAGUGAGAGUAUAUGCUUCGUUGUCAAAAGGCGCGGCAGCCCCUCUUCCCUUGCUCACUUCCUUCCCUCUCUCCUCUCUGCACACCCUCCACAGGGAGCCAGCUCAAACCCUCAGACCAGGCCAACAGCUCUAUGCAAUCUUUUCAGUGACUCUGAGCCAAACCCAUCCAAAUGUGCUCCCAGAUGCUGACCAUCAGAAAGUCCGAUAGUAACCGUCUGCUGUUUGCGAUGAUGAACCUCUGUGGCAAUUUGUUACACAGCAAUGCAUAACUAAUACAUACUUUGGCAUUUGUAAAUGAAGGGCCACCACAACAAAAACCUAAACUAUGGGAAUGGCAUUGACACAAGGGAGUCCGGAGCGGCUAGAAAGACUCCAAGAAUGAUAAUAUUUGUACAAACAUGGUGUCCUUUGAGGAGACUGCAGAGAAGGCUUGAAAGAAAAUGAGGAAAGUCUUCCUGGAAAGUGGAGGAGAAAAUCCUCUUACUGCAGCGGCAGAGGUUACUGUAACAUCACUGCUUACAACAACACGUGGAAUACGUAAUGUGCCAAUGAACCGAGUGAUCAAGUUAAGGAGCCUUCCAGGCAAAGUGUUGAAGAUGCCAUCUGGUUUAUUUUAGGCAUUUUUAGUAAAAUGAAAAAUUAAAAAAAGACAAACUAAAUAAAUUAUCUGUUAAACAUGAAGAAGCCAUAACUUGAUGAUUGCAAAAAGGUUUAACGUCUCCAGGCAAAAAGCAAGAUGAAGAUUAAGACACAAUUUUGGCUAGGCACAGUGGCACAAACUUUUAAUCCUAGCUUGAAGGUUGGUGCAAGAGGAUCACUAGUUCAAGGUCAGCCUGGACAACUUAUACAGACCUGGUCUCAAAAAAUUUUAAAAGGGCCGAUGCUGUAACUCAGAGGUGGAGUGUUUGUCCAGCACAUUUGAAGCAAUCACCAGUGUCACACAUAUAAAACAUUCGCCCAAAGAUCAAAUCCAGAAUGUCCAUCCAUUUGUGUUGCUGUAACAAAAUAUCUGAAACUGGAUACUUUGUUUUUAAGAGGUUUUUUUGGCUUACAGUUUUGAAUAUUCAAGAGCAUGAGCCAAGGCAUUUUAGUCUGAAUAAUUCCUAGAAUUCAGACAGGGGAAGAUAACUACGUUUUGACUAGCUAUCAAAGUAAUCAUUGACAAUCAUCAUUAAAUACAUUAUGGCAUUUAAUCAGGCCUUAGGAGAAAAGAAAACUAUCUCAUGAAUAAAGGCUACCAUAAACUUAUGCUAAAAAGGCAUACCAAGAGCCUCGGAAUGAUGAAAUAAUUAGCAAGGAACUUAACUGCAUGCCAGUCUUUAAUGGAAAACAACAAAAAUCAGGCCGUCAACUAUGCAACAUUAACAUUCAUAAUGUCCAGCACCAAGUAAAAAAUUCCUACAUAGGUCAAGAAACAGGAAAAUGAUCCAUGAUUAGUAGAAAAAUCAGUAAAUUGAAAAGGACCCAAAAAUAUCAGUGACGAUGGAAUGAGUGGACAAGAAUGUUAAAAGGCUGCUAGCUGUAUGGGUUUUGUUUUGUUUUGUUUUGUUAUGACUCUUUUAGGCAGAGGAGACCCCAACCCUCGGCUCAGAGCUUGGAGAAAAGAAUGAGAGUUGGAUUUUGGCCUCCACUCAAUCUUCCCCCAGAUCUACCUGUGCAGAAACUACCUGAGCCACCAUGGGUGACAGCCCUGCUGUCUGUCCCGGGAGCACCAAGGAGGCAAUAUGGUUGGAGCAGAAGUAAGGGAAAGGCGUGGAGGAUGGGAAACAUAGUGGGGAGGAAGGCUAUGCAAGCCCUGUGAGGGAGGACUAUUAGCUUUUACUCCAAGUGGCUGGAAGCCGUAGGAGGUCUGAGCAAGGAGAGUCACGAUCCUUCCAGAGGCUGAUGGAGGGAGAACAGGCAGUGAGCCUGGGACCUGGAGGAGCCAGAGGGUGCUGCACAGUGCUCCUGAGACAGGACGCUGGGGCCUGGCCAGAAGCAGAGGCUGAAGGGACUGCGGCAUGGAGGGGUCUCGGUGACCUCUUGCGGGAGACAUAGCGGGAAGUGAGGAUACAGGGGUCUUGGGCUGCAAGAGCAAGAGAAGCCGGAGAUAACAGAGAUAAUGGCUUCUGCAGCAGCUCCAGGCAGGCUGCAGUGCUGGGCGCUAAUGAGAUCAGGGUGAGAAACACAUUUUGGGGUGUGAAGAUGGCUGGUGGGUUUGAGACACCUGCAGAGGGAGGGCAGGUGGGGAUGUCAGCAGAGAGGACGGGGUGAGUUCAUGGGGAGUGGGAGGAAUAAAGACAGGAGAGAGAGGGAGAGAGGACAAACAGACCCUGCCCAGAGCCAAGUGGGCUCACUGUGGACCUCAGAGGGAUGGGCUGACAGAUGAGGAUCCCAGGAGAGCUGACCUGAUGACGCAUCAGAGAGACGAGCCUGCAUGCACACACGCACGCACACACACAGGGGGAAUUUGGUAAGCUCCUUUGGAGAGCAGGAACGAGUGUGUGUGAAUGAGGCUGCGGAGGGAGGCUCUCAGAGAGACAGACAUGCACAUGCAGACUCACAUACAAGAGCCGCCCCAGGAACAAACUCCUGUACACAUUCAGGGUCUGAGGUGGCAGACGAGUGAAUGGGAGAGUGAGUGGGCGCCAGGGGGGCUGACAGAGAUCAGCAAGAGAGGAGGGGAGUGGAAAGACACCAAACCUCUGUGUUUUCAAGGAUCCACAGUGAGACGCACAGACACAACUGUGACACAACAGGAGGACCUAAUCUGGAGGGAAUAUGAACAAUGAGAGAGGGGCUGGGGAGGCAGGAAGUCCAGAGAUCCAGAGAGGCAGCUGUGUGUACACUCAGACCAACAGACAGGACAGACAGACCACAGCCUAAUGACAAACACUAGGGACCCAAGACAAGCAAGAUCCAGGAAGAGGCUCUGCACAGAAGCUGCCACCAUCCUUCCAGACAGGCAGAGGCAUCCGAGGAUCCCCUGGCAGGAGGAGGCCAGCUCACAGUGCACCUCAUAAAGGGGAUCCGAGAAUGAAACGUGUCUACCUCCUCGGAUGGAAGAGGCCUCAAGUGCACCAGCAAGUCUCAGGCUUAGAGAGGUGGCAGUUAUGUCGGGACGGCAGCCAUGAUGUCUGAAGAGGGCCGUGUGUUCCGUUUCCUCUCUCAUCCCUCCCUCCCCUACCCAUCACCUCCCAUCUGCCUGCCUCUGUCUACCUAUGUGUCCACCAAAAUGACUCACUCAUCCAACAAUUAUGAUCAUAAGGGAUAAUCGGUUACAAAUCAAAAAGUAGGAUGUUUCAAAGCAGACUUUAAUCUUUCUUAAAGUGUUUAAGUUUUUUCAAGUUGAACACGUUCACACCACCUCUUGAUAAAUAGAAAUUAAUUUUUCAAAGGAAGAUAGUAAAAGGGGAUGCAGAAAAUGUGAUAAUGACAGAGAACAGGUGACGAUAGCCACGCGGAGCCCUCCCUUCUCUUCCCCUCCGGUUGCUAACCUCCCGCAGCCCUGCUCUAAGCUGGGACCAGAGACAGCUCAACACCUGCAUGGUCCGCAGGGAUGGAAAGACCCCAAACACGUUCACCAUGGGCCUGGAUGUACCCAGGCAUGCUCCUGUGGUGCCAUGGGCUCUCAGGGACAGGCCUGGGGCUUCCCCAGAGAGAGGAGAGAGCCAAGGGCUUCACUGUAUGCCAUUCAGAAAGGGCAGAAGCAGGGGGGUGGACUAGCCCACACCUCCCUGCCAGGAAGAGGCCAUCGUGGCUGUGGCUGGGUGGAGAAGAAGUUGCCACGAGUGGGACAGUAUGAGUGGAACCGGCAAGCUUUAAAGCAGGGCCAUUAGCUCGACCUUUACCAGGAACAUCCUGGGGCUGCCAAGAGGGGUCAGACCAGCCCAGGGCAAGCACCAGAUAGGAGGCUUGAAAGGGUGACUCAGUGAGUAGAAAAGGCAGGCCCGGCAGCAGCGAGGGCUGAUGACCUGUGGUAGGGCCAGGCUUGGCAGAAGGCAGGACUGUGACUUUGUCUGCUUUCACUAGAGAUGAGCAGCCAGUGGGGGAGGAGACUGGAGAAGAGAACUCCAGUGCAGGAGGGGCAGGGAGAACCCUCAGAUUGCCUGGGAGCCCUGUCUCCUGGUCCCACGCUCAAGGGCGAGGAUGUGCAAUUCCAAAUUCAGGAGAGACCUCUACUCCAAGAAGAGUGAUGCGUGGCGAUGGGUAUUCUGAGUGGGGGGAGCUGCCCCUGGGGAGCGGCAGAGCAGGAAGAAGAGUACUGAGCCCCAAGGGACAUCAGUACCAAGAGAAGGAUGGAGGACCAGGCUGCGGAAGAGGACAGUCCAAAGAUGGAAGGAGAGCCACAAGUGUCCAGGAUCCUAUGGGCCAGAGGACAUGAGGGGGCAAAGGGCCAUGGGCUUUGGUGAGCAAGAGGUCAGUGGGGGACUCACUUGAGAUUCGCGGUGGGCUCCAGAAGGCGGAGGACAGGUGCUGAGCAUGGUGUGGGACCAAGGCAAGGGGGGAAGAGGGCAGAGCCAAGGAUCCUUCUCCCAUGGCUCUGAGGAUGAGCAGGAGAGGAGCAGUGGUUACCAAAGUGGCAGCAGAGUGAGCCAGGAAGAGAGCAAAGGGUGACGUGGCCAGGGCAGCCACGUGGGCCACAGAGAUGGGGAAGAGCAAAGGAGAGGACCAGCAGUUUGGAGGAAGACCCUGGAACAGAAGACCAGAACAGGAGGGGAGAACGCAGCGGAGUUUGGGAUGUAACGGGGCAGGUGGCCGGGCAGGCUGAGAGGAGAGCAGGGCCUGAGCGGAAGGACCGAGGGAGAUGGCGCGUGUGUUGGCAGUGUGGCCCCCGCACACAGGGAGGGAGAGGGGCACAGAGGUGAGGACCAGCCAGGGUGAGAGGGAAGAGUGUGAGGGAAUGCCUAGGACAGAGCUGGACAGGCCACACACACACAUGCAUACGCGUGUGCACACACAAACCACACACACACUUAGGAUGCUGAGAAGGCUUAAUGUCCAUCACUGCUCUCUCCCAGGACGACAGCUGGUCUUUCCUCUCCAGAACACUUCAGGACCUGCCUAGCCUUUGGUCCCCCUCCCCCCAUGCAGCUCCAAGGCCUCAACAGAUGUGGUGUGGCUGGAUGGACAGAUGGGCAGAUGGACUCAGUCAUCCAUUCUUCCACCCACAUGAUGCUACAGAGGCCUGAGGACCUCCAACCACUCCUGGGAGGGAGUGCUGGCUGGAAGGCUCAGAGCGGCUAUGGGGAACCACACAGGAGGACCGGAAGGGGCAGCCAGGGUGUGGCAACCAUGAGACAGGUGCAAGGCACCUGCGGAGGGGCUCAGUCAGGGCCACUCCAAAUCCACAGUGUGUGCCGCAGAACGAGGGUGGGUAGUUUCUGAGUGCAGCAGAGACCGGGCUGACUUACCAGAGCGCAAAGCGUGAGCUCUCGGAAACCAGGUGCAGCAAGAGAGGUGAGGACCCCAGAAGAACAGGAGACAGGACAGACCAACAGACAGAUCCUGGCCAGAGCACUGGGCUUUCCAUGGUGGGAUCCCGCCUGAGCACACCCUGGGAAGAUGAGUAUACACACACACACACACACACACACACACACACACACACAGCAAGACACAGAGCAAGAGCAAAACACUAUGAAGCCCAGAAGGAGGGAGCAGAAAUCGAAAGGGAAAGUGGCAGACACACAUGCACACACUUGAUUGCAUGUGCGCACACACAUGAUAACAAUGACAUGCAAACUAUGGAAAAUCCAGUGAGGCUCCUCUGGAGUGCAGAGGGAGCAUGACUGAGCAAGAGGAGGGCAGAGCCAGAGUGGAAUGGGAGAUCAGGGCACACUGAUACAAAGUUAAAAAAAUAAAAUAAAGAGGGGGAGGGGGGACCCGGAGGGAGGCAAGAGGCAGAGGAAGGCAGAGAUGCAGCUCAGCAGGCGCAUAUGCAGACGGGUGGGGAGAGAGGCCGGACACAGCCUGAGAAAGAGCCAAAAGCAGCGGUCAGAAGCCACACAUCCACACAGCAGCGGCACAAACUGUGACACUCGGGGCAGGGACAGAACAGAGCGGGGAGGGAGAGAAACAAAGGCUCGGCUCUGGAGUGAUAGCAUUGGAAUGCUCAGAUGGACAGACAGCAAAGAACCCAAAGCACUCCAGACCCCACAAGGAGGGGCAGGCAGGAAAGACGUCCUGAGAGUGCCUGUUCCUGGCACCCUCACCUGCCCUGGCGCACAGAGAGCACCCAGCACCACCUCAUCAUGCAGUGCAGCUUCAGUCUGAGGCAGGCUCUGGGGCAGAGGUUCCAAACAGUGCAUCAGUGCUGGGACUGCUGGCAAUUGGGCUCUCUGGGGAAGAAGAUUCCUCACCUGUAGCUUGUGCCCAUUUCUGUGGUGUAAAUGUCGCAGGGCUAAUUCAAGCCAGCAAUGCACCCUCACUGAGCAGAGUAAGGAAGAGGCGCCCACUGUUGGCUCCAGGCACCCGCAUGUUCACAGAAAGAACAAGAUUAAUCACCAGAGAGAAGCUCGUCCUUAGAACCUGCCCACAGUAGCCAGGAUUUAUAUUUUAAAUGAGUCCCCCAAACCAGCUCUACUUCACCAAGAUGAGCAGCCCUGCAGGGGCAGUAUGGACAGUCACACAAAGCUGGUCACUGUGGCUUCCCUCAGCGGAGCAGGACAAAGAAACUUCAAGUCUGUCUGCCAUGCUCUAAGUUUUUGCCAAAAGAAUUUCUUCAUCUAUCACAUACGAUUAAAAACUAAUCGUAUAAAUCUGAAGAGGGAGAAAAAUGGAGGGAGGAGUGGGAGAAGGAGACAGAGAGUGACCUCCACAUCCCUGACCCAUGGCCUUCGCACACCUCCACCCUCAGGAUCCUCCUCCUGCUGAGACAGAUGCUCUGACCUGUCCUCCAGGAGCUCACAGCCUGAGGGGCCGGACAGUGCGGUCAAACACACGUCUCUCAGCCUCCCGUGUGCCUAGGACAUCGGGGACCCUCAUCUGAUAAAGAGAGACCCCAGGCACCAAGUGGCAAAACCUUCUUUGAGAAGGACAUGGAGCUUUCCUGGGGAUCACCCACGACCCGGCUCAGCAGAGCUGUGUGGGAGAGAGUGGGAGGGGAGCAAUGGCUGUGGUGAGCAUAACGAAUCACGCAGACCCCAGGAGACCAGCUAGGGGAGGGAGGAGAGCAGGAGAGGGAGGCUGGGCCCUGGGGGUGCAAGUACAGGGGAUGGAGCAAGCAAAAGGCCACAAGGAAACAGGUGGGCCCAGAGGCCAGAGUCAAGGAAAGAAAGGGACACAGAACUCCAGCAUCCAAGGUCCCCAGUGGAGUUUGCAGCUGGUCCUGGCUUUUCCCAGUCUCUUAGCAGACACAGAGCAGCUGCUGUGGUGAGUGGCAGAAGAUGGCAGGUUGGGAGGGAGGAGGUGGACACAGCCCGAGUUGAGAGUUCCUUCCCUAGACACUCUGUCAUGGAAGGAGAGGACAGGAGGGAGGUGGGAACAAAAGUUCAAGGGGAAAAGUGACUCCUCAGGUGGGAGGGAGGGAAGUAUGUCCACUGCUGAGAGACCCUGAGGGAUGCGGGAGGGAAAGGGACAGCCGUUGCCAGGGCAACUGCACUGACUAGAAGCAUGAGGGGAUCAUAAGGAAAGAGGGAGGGAAUUUGGAGGUAGAGGCAACCGUGGGUUAGAAGGGGGAGACGGGUGGACGGAAAGGGGCUUCUCUGUGCUUAGUACUGCAUUUGCAGAAAGGGGAAAAUAUGCAGCUCAUCAUAGAUUUGGGGAGUCUACGCUGCUGAGGAUGAAGUUCUCAGGAGCUUCAGGUUGGGUUGAAUGCCCAGUGCUUCAGCAGACAGAUCUAGAGUGGAUCCGGAGAUAUGGGACUGUUCUUGUUUUUACACGCACCAAAAUGCGCAGUAACAUCAAAAACACAAGACGUGCUUAUCACCCUGUAUUCUUCCAACUCCCCUAAGAAUUCAACUCCAUCAGCAGUAUCUUAGCCUAUGGGAUCUCUGUCUUCAGUAGAACAUCGAGGGCGUAUUCGGUGUAUGCUACAUGGAUGAGCGGGUGGGUGAAUGGAUGGGCAAGUGCGUGGAUAGUUGGAUGGAGGAAUGAGGGAUGAAUGAAUGGGUGCGUAGGCAGAUGGGUAAAUGUGUGGAUGAUGAAUGAGUGCAUAGAUGGGCGGUGAGUGAUGGGUAGAUGUAUAUAUGGAUGGAGGGAUGGAUGGUGGGAGAUGGGUGAGGUAUGGACGAGGGGUGAAAGGAGGGAGGAAUGGAAGGAUGGAUGAAGAGGUAGAGUAAGACAGGAGGUAAGAAUAAGAUUGGAUAAGGAAAACAAAAAAGAAAAAAGAAAAACCACUAGCAGGCAUGAGGGCACAUACCGUUAAUCUCAGCACUCGGGAGGCUGAAGCAGGAGGAUCACUGUGCAUUCAAGGCCAGCCUGGGCUACAAGGUGAACUCAAGACCAACCUGUGUAACAUAGCAAGACUCUGUCUCAAAAAAAAAGAAAGAAAGAAAGGAAGGAACAGCCACUAUGGAAGUCAGUGUGGAGAUUCCUCACAAAACUAAAAUUAGAAACUCCAUCUGACUCAGAUAUACCCUUCUAAGUAUUUUCCCAAAAAAGUUAAAAAAUCAUCAGAUUACAGGGACACAUGUGUACUCAUGUUUAUAGCAGCACAAUUUAUAAUAGCUAAAGUGGGAAACAGUAUAUGCCCAUCAGCAGACGAAUGGAUACGGAAAAUACGGUAUUUAUACACAACAGAGUACUACUCUGACAUAAAUAAAGAUAAACUCAAGGCAUUUGUAGGUAAAGAGAUGCAAUUUGAGACUGUAAUAUUGAAAUAAAAUGUCAGGCAUGCAAACUUAAAUAUGAUAUGGUUUCUUUUAUAUGAAAUAUAUAUAUAUACAAAUAAAGAGCAAAAUAGAUUAAGUAGGAAGUAAGGAAGUCAAAUAAUUCCUCAAUUACCUAUUCCAUCAUUUCAAAAAUAUUUUAAUAUACAUGCCAAUUUGUUUUAUUUAUACUAUUAGUUUCUCUUAGUUUAUUGAAAGUUUUGUACUGUUACUUGAUUUUUUUUUAACUUUAAAGAUAAUAAAAUCCAACAAAACAAGCCAGAACAAAGCCAAUCAAAACAAUGCAGCAAAACUGGUACAGAACUUCAAAGCAGCAUACCAGGAAAAUAACUCUAGCUACCAUAGUAUAUCUUGUUACCUUCAUAAUAGUUGUCCAUCCAUCAGACAUAGCAAAAUCAAACCAAAAGCAAAACACAAUAAGACAAAUCAAAACAGAAUGUUGAGUAGAAUAAAAUAAUCAAAACAAAGCAAAA